GAUGAACGCUGGCGGCGUGCCUAAUACAUGCCAGUCGAGCGAACAGACGAGGAGCUUGCUCCUCUGACGUUAGCGGCGGACGGGUGAGUAACACGUGGAUAACCUACCUAUAAGACUGGGAUAACUUCGGGAAACCGGAGCUAAUACCGGAUAAUAUAUUGAACCGCAUGGUUCAAUAGUGAAAGACGGUUUUGCCGUCACUUAUAGAUGGAUCCGCGCCGCAUUAGCUAGUUGGUAAGGUAACGGCUUACCAAGGCGGCGAUGCGUAGCCGACCUGAGAGGGUGAUCGGCCACACUGGAACUGAGACACGGUCCAGACUCCUACGGGAGGCAGCAGUAGGGAAUCUUCCGCAAUGGGCGAAAGCCUGACGGAGCAACGCCGCGUGAGUGAUGAAGGUCUUCGGAUCGUAAAACUCUGUUAUUAGGGAAGAACAAAUGUGUAAGUAACUAUGCACGUCUUGACGGUACCUAAUCAGAAAGCCACGGCUAACUACGUG
rnacentral:rRNA from 1 species